UACGUAGGGUGCGAGCGUUGUCCGGAAUUACUGGGCGUAAAGAGCUCGUAGGUGGUUUGUCGCGUUGUUCGUGAAAACUCACAGCUUAACUGUGGGCGUGCGGGCGAUACGGGCAGACUGGAGUACUGCAGGGGAGACUGGAAUUCCUGGUGUAGCGGUGGAAUGCGCAGAUAUCUGGAGGAAUACCGGUGGCGAAGGCGGCAUCCUGGACCGGCAUUGACGCUGAUGAGCGAAAGCUAGGGGAGCAAACGGG
rnacentral:rRNA from 1 species